CCUACGGGUGGCAGCAGUGAGGAAUAUUGCACAAUGGGGGCAACCCUGAUGCAGCGACGCCGCGUGGGUGAAGAAGCGCCUCGGCGCGUAAAGCCCUGUCAGCAGGGAAGAAAAUGACGGUACCUGAAGAAGAAGGACCGGCUAACUACGUGCCAGCAGCCGCGGUAAUACGUAGGGGGCAAGCGUUAUCCGGAUUUACUGGGUGUAAAGGGGGCGCAGACGGCGAUGCAAGCCAGGAGUGAAAGCGCGGGGCCCAACCCCGGGACUGCCCCUAGAACUGUGUGGCUAGAGGAUAGGUGGGGCAGGCGGAAUGUCUGGUGUAGCGGUGAAAUGCGUAGAUAUCAGACGGAACACCGAUGGCGAAGGCAGCCUGCCAAACUGUAACUGACGUUGAGGCACGAAAGCGUGGGGAGCAAACAGGAUUAGAUACCCGAGUAGUC
rnacentral:rRNA from 1 species